rnacentral:rRNA from 1 species
AACGAACGCUGGCGGCAUGCCUAACACAUGCAAGUCGAACGAGACCUUCGGGUCUAGUGGCGCAUGGGUGCGUAACGCGUGGGAACCUGCCCUUAGGUUCGGAAUAACUCCCCGAAAGGGGUGCUAAUACCGGAUAAUGUCUUCGGACCAAAGAUUUAUCGCCUUUGGAUGGGCCCGCGUUGGAUUAGCUAGUUGGUAGGGUAAAAGCCUACCAAGGCGACGAUCCAUAGCUGGUCUGAGAGGAUGAUCAGCCACACUGGGACUGAGACACGGCCCAGACUCCUACGGGAGGCAGCAGUGGGGAAUAUUGGACAAUGGGCGAAAGCCUGAUCCAGCAAUGCCGCGGGAGUGAUGAAGGCCUUAGGGUUGUAAAGCUCUUUUACCCGGGAUGAUAAUGACAGUACCGGGAGAAUAAGCUCCGGCUAACUCCGU